GUGGAUUAGAUACCCGGGUAGUCCACGCCGUAAACGAUGGAUACUUGGUGUUGGAGGUAUUGACCCCUUCAGUGCCGAAGCUAACGCGUUAAGUAUCCCGCCUGGGAAGUACGGUCGCAAGAUUAAAACUCAAAGAAAUUGACGGGGGCCCGCACAAGCGGUGGAGCAUGUGGUUCAAUUCGAUGCAACGCGAAGAACCUUACCUAGAUUUGACAUGUAUUGGAAGACUACCAGAAAUGGUGUCGCCUUCGGGCCGAUACACAGGUGCUGCAUGGCUGUCGCCAACU
rnacentral:rRNA from 1 species